UUUCUGGGUAGUAGAUUUUUAUUUGAAUUUAAUGGAUCUGGCGGUUUUUAAAUCUUUUUAGAGGAACCUGUAAUUUAAAUGAUAGUCCACGAUUGAUUUUACCUUUUUUUUCUUGUAUAUCUCUGUCGUUGAAUGUUAUGUUAAUAUAUUUUCUUAUAUAUUAUUUAUAUUAUGUUAGGUCAAGGUGCAGUUAUAUUUUGGUUAUUAUGGGUUACAUUUAUUUACGUUAUUUGAUUAUAUUUUUGUUAUUUAUUUUGAAUAUGGAUUUAAAAGUAAUUUUAUUUAUUUAAUUUUUUGAAUUUAGCUCUUGAUUAUGU
rnacentral:rRNA from 1 species